GCAGUCUGCUGCUUGGUACCGAGGAAACAAUAUCUCCUGGUGGAGCUGCUGCUCCAGUAACACUUGGAGGUUGUUUGUUAUCUCGGAAUGUAGAGCCUGCACUGGAGCGUGUAAUUGCAACACCAUGUCUUCGGUUAGAAAGAACUCGGACACUAAAUUGUCCAUGUCAUCACCUGAAUUUGACCAUAAAAUAUAGUGCAGAGGGACUGAGAACACAGCCUGUGAGGAGGCAUACGGAGCCUGAAAGCCAAGGAAGAAGCCAGAUUUAGCAUUUUUGAACUAUAAACCAGUAAUUGGAAUUGGAAU